CACGUAGGGGACGAGCGUUGUCCGGAUUCAUUGGGCGUAAAGCGCGCGUAGGCGGCUCGGAAAGUCGGUCGUGAAAUGCCGGGGCUCAACCCCGGGACUGCGUCCGAUACUCCCGAGCUGGAGGCAGGUAGGGGAGAUCGGAAUUCCUGGUGUAGCGGUGAAAUGCGCAGAUAUCAGGAGGAACACCCGUGGCGAAGGCGGCCAGCUGGGCCGUCCCUGACGCUGAGGCGCGAAGGCGUGGGGAGCGAACGGG
rnacentral:rRNA from 1 species